CUGAGUUUCAGCUAAGCUUUUUUUCUUCCAGAUGCUUGUAUCUCACAGACAUUUGGUUACUUGCGAUGGAGCUCGCUGAACCAGAUGAGAAGGUGGUGUAUGUUCAAACACUGAUGUGAACUUGGUAGCAUUGGAAAUUGUAGUCCCAGAUCUUGAAAAAGAGGAGGAGCAAGUGCUUGCAGCACUUCACACAUCCCUGUGGACAGUAAAAAUCACCGUCUGUUCUCUACAGUCUGUUCAAAAGGGAAACCAUAGUGAACUAAUAGUAUACGAUCCCCUUCAGCUGUGUCUUAUGUGGGAUCAAGUAACAUACAUGGUGUUGAAAAACACAGGUCAAACCCUAUUUAUCUUGGUAGAGCUGAUUGUCCUCAGCCAUAGGUUGUUCACAGCAUUCAGCAAAUGUUGUUAAAGGAUCCUUCACCCUACUGUACGAGCAGCGUGAUACGCAAUAUGGAAAAAGUGUGCUAAUACACGCUAGUAAUACAAUAAAAUAUUAAUACCAAACUCCGAACUUUGUUUCCUGAGCAGAUGCGAAGGGCUGUUGUCUCCUGCCGAUGUGGUCUCUCCUGCGACGCUCUGCCUGUGCGAGGUUGCUGGCGGCAUGGGGAUACGCCGGUAUAAAAACAACAUAGCCAAGUGCAGAACACGGAAAACGUCUGCAGCAGAGAGAAAUCGGGUUUCUUCAGCUUCCAUCACUGCGAUGAUAAGAGGUGACGUGGACCUUUCCCCAGCCCUGGCUUUGCACAGAGGUAUGUGUCGUAGCGGA
rnacentral:lncRNA from 1 species